GGGGAUUCCACAGUGCCUCAGCAAGUACAUGGUCUCUCAAGCACAAAAGUUCCAGAAAGGCAGUUCUGCAUGUAUAUCAACACCACAAAUCCUGGGAAUCACUUCUGAAGUAUCUCCAAAAGAACUGAGCACCUAUUAGUCACAGGGAAACAUCUAUGGAUAAAGAGAAGCAAGCUGGAGAUAAAGGCCUGCUUCAGCACCACACAUUUCAGUCACCCAUGACAAACAAUGGCUGCCAGUCUUCUCACCCUUCAGCAACAAAGAGCUUUGAAGCUUUUUGCUGUCAACAAGCGUUCUGGAAAGAGUACACUGUCUGAAAGGCACAAAUGAUCCACCCUCUACACCAUGGACUCUUCUUCCAAAGGCAACCAA